rnacentral:rRNA from 1 species
UACGAAGGGGGCUAGCGUUGCUCGGAAUCACUGGGCGUAAAGCGCACGUAGGCGGCUUUUUAAGUCAGAGGUGAAAUCCUGGAGCUCAACUCCAGAACUGCCUUUGAUACUGGAGAGCUUGAGUCCGGGAGAGGUGAGUGGAACUGCGAGUGUAGAGGUGAAAUUCGUAGAUAUCGGGAGGAACACCAGUGGCGAAGGCGGCGACCUGGGAAGAUACUGACGCUGAGGUGCGAAAGCGUGGGGAGCAAACAGG